rnacentral:rRNA from 1 species
UACGGGGGGGGCAAGCGUUGUUCGGAAUUACUGGGCGUAAAGGGUCUGUAGGUGGCCAACUAAGUCAGACGUGAAAUCCCUCAGCUUAACUGGGGAACUGCGUCUGAGACUGGAUGGCUCGAGUGCAGGAGAGGAAUGCGGAAUUCCAGGUGUAGCGGUGAAAUGCGUAGAUAUCUGGAGGAACACCGGUGGCGAAGGCGGCAUCCUGGACCAAUACUGACGCUGAGGCGCGAAAGCUAGGGGAGCAAACGGG